AUUGAACGCUGGCGGCAGGCCUAACACAUGCAAGUCGAGCGGAGCGGCGGACGGGUGAGUAAUGCCUAGGAAUCUGCCUGGUAGUGGGGGAUAACGUCCGGAAACGGGCGCUAAUACCGCAUACCAUCAGCUUAGCCUAGGUCGGAUUCGCUAGUGGGUGGGGUAAAGGCCUACCAAGGCGACGAGCCGUAACUGGUCUGAGAGGAGGUUCAGUCCAACUGGAACUGAGACACGGUCCAGGCUCCAACGGGAGGCAGCAGUGGGGAAUUUUGGACAAUGGGCGAAAGCCUGAUCCAGCCAGGCCGGGUGUGUGAAGAAGGUCUUCGGAUUGUAAAGCACUUUAAGUUGGGAGGCGUUACCAACAGAAUAAGCACCGGCUAACUUCGUGCCAGCAGCCGCGGUAAUAC
rnacentral:rRNA from 1 species